rnacentral:rRNA from 1 species
GACGAACGCUGGCGGCGUGCUUAACACAUGCAAGUCGAACGGUAAGGCCCUGCUUUUGUGGUGUGCUCGAUUGGCGAACGGGUGAGUAACACGGGAGUAACCUGCCCUUGACUUUGGGAUAACUUCAGGAAACUGGGGCUAAUACCGGAUAGGAUCUCCUGCUGCAUGGUGUGGGUUGGAAAGUUUCGGCGGUUGGGGCUGGACUCGCGGCUUAUCAGCUUGUUGGUGGGGUAGUGGCUUACCAAGGCUUUGACGGGUAGCCGGCCUGAGAGGGUGACCGGCCACAUUGGGACUGAGAUACGGCCCAGACUCCUACGGGAGGCAGCAGUGGGGAAUAUUGCACAAUGGGCGGAAGCCUGAUGCAGCAACGCCGCGUGCGGGAUGACGGCCUUCGGGUUGUAAACCGCUUUCGCCUGUGACGAAGCGUGAGUGACGGUAAUGGGUAAAGAAGCACCGGCUAACUACGUG